rnacentral:rRNA from 1 species
CCGACCAGCCAAAUACCUCAUAAAGGGCCAGUCCUGUUGGUUUAAACGAAUUCGCCCUUAGAGUUCCAUCCUGGUUCAGGACGAACGCUGGCGGCGCGCCUAACACAUGCAAGUCGAACGAGAGAGAGGAAGCUUGCUUCCUCAAUCGAGUGGCGAACGGGUGAGUAACGCGUGAGGAACCUGCCUCAAAGAGGGGGACAACAGUUGGAAACGACUGCUAAUACCGCAUAAGCCCACAGGUCGGCAUCGACCAGAGGGAAAAGGAGCAAUCCGCUUUGAGAUGGCCUCGCGUCCGAUUAGCUGGUUGGUGAGGUAACGGCCCACCAAGGCGACGAUCGGUAGCCGGACUGAGAGGUUGAACGGCCACAUUGGGACUGAGACACGGCCCAGACUCCUACGGGAGGCAGCAGUGGGGAAUAUUGCACAAUGGGGGAAACCCUGAUGCAGCGACGCCGCGUGGAGGAAGAAGGUCUUCGGAUUGUAAACUCCUGUUGUUGAGGAAGAUAAUGACGGUACUCAACAAGGAAGUGACGGCUAACUACGUGCCAGCAGCCGCGGUAAAACGUAGGUCACAAGCGUUGUCCGGAAUUACUGGGUGUAAAGGGAGCGCAGGCGGGAAGACAAGUUGGAAGUGAAAUCUAUGGGCUCAACCCAUAAACUGCUUUCAAAACUGUUUUUCUUGAGUAGUGCAGAGGUAGGCGGAAUCCCGGUGUAGCGGUGGAAUGCGUAGAUAUCGGGAGGAACACCAGUGGCGAAGGCGGCCUACUGGGCACCAACUGACGCUGAGGCUCGAAAGUGUGGGUAGCAAACAGGAUUAGAUACCCUGGUAGUCCACACCGUAAACGAUGAUUACUAGGUGUUGGAGGAUUGACCCCUUCAGUGCCGCAGUUAACACAAUAAGUAAUCCACCUGGGGAGUACGACCGCAAGGUUGAAACUCAAAGGAAUUGACGGGGGCCCGCACAAGCAGUGGAGUAUGUGGUUUAAUUCGACGCAACGCGAAGAACCUUACCAAGUCUUGACAUCCUGCGACGUACAUAGAAAUAUGUGUUUCCUUCGGGACGCAGAGACAGGUGGUGCAUGGUUGUCGUCAGCUCGUGUCGUGAGAUGUUGGGUUAAGUCCCGCAACGAGCGCAACCCUUACUGUCAGUUACUACGCAAGAGGACUCUGGCAGGACUGCCGUUGACAAAACGGAGGAAGGUGGGGAUGACGUCAAAUCAUCAUGCCCUUUAUGACUUGGGCUACACACGUACUACAAUGGCGUUAAACAAAGAGAAGCAAGACCGCGAGGUGGAGCAAAACUCAGAAACAACGUCCCAGUUCGGACUGCAGGCUGCAACUCGCCUGCACGAAGUCGGAACUGCUAGUAAUCGUGGAUCAGCAUGCCACGGUGAAUACAUUCCCGGGCCUGUACACACCGCCCGUCAAGGGCGAUACGCGGCCGGUAAUUCAUCGCCCUAUAUGUUAUCUGGGG